rnacentral:rRNA from 1 species
GACGAACGCUGGCGGCGUGCUUAACACAUGCAAGUCGAACGGAAAGGCCCUGCUUUUGUGGGGUGCGCGAGUGGCGAACGGGUGAGUAACACGGGAGUAACCUGCCCUUGACUUGGGGAUAACUUCAGGAAACUGGGGCUAAUACCGGAUAGGAGCUCCUGCUGCAUGGUGGGGGUUGGAAAGUUUCGGCGGUUGGGGAUGGACUCGCGGCUUAUCAGCUUGUUGGUGGGGUAGUGGCUUACCAAGGCUUUGACGGGUAGCCGGCCUGGGAGGGUGACCGGCCCCCUUGGGCCUGCGGUACGGCGCAGACUCCUACGGGAGGCAGCAGUGGGGAAUAUUGCACAAUGGGCGGAAGCCUGAUGCAGCAACGCCGCGUGCGGGAUGACGGCCUUCGGGUUGUAAACCGCUUUCGCCUGUGACGAAGCGUGAGUGACGGUAACGGGUAAAGAAGCACCGGCUAACUACGUG